ACAGGCUGGUCCCACCUAACAGGCUAGGCAGGUGGCUCUGCUGACCUUGCAUUUCAGCUGCCUCGCCCAGGCCUUUGGAGUCUCAAAUCUCCCGUGUCCACUGGUGCUGAACCGAAUAAUACGCAACUGAAGCUUAAUGGAAACACUUGACCUGAACGCUUUGGCAGUCUCCCACCACUGGCCCAGGCAGUCCUGUUCAGAUGAUGUCGAAGCAUCUAGACCAGAUGAUGUCUGCAGCAAACCCUCAGCCUGUUUUGUGUGGUGAUUUACAGCCACCCACGAGCAAGUACAGCUGGAAUCUCUGAGACUUGUCCUCAACAGCAGAGCACAAGGCAGGAAGCAAACUGGAAGUUGUUCUACACAGGAGAAGCCGGGGGGACGACAAGGUGCUCCCUUUGCCGUCAUUGAGUCCCGAGGCCCAGAUGUGUUCCUGGAGUUCCCAGCCGUGACCAAAUAAAUACACUUCCUUUUUUUGUUAA